rnacentral:snRNA from 1 species
AUACUCUGGUUUCUCUCAGAUUGUAUAAAUCUUUUGCCUUUU